AGUAGUGGGAAAGGGAGAUGAGUCUACAGGAAGUAAUGGGUAUGGGGUGCUUGGGGAGGAAUGGGAAUCUAAAUCCCUUAUAUUUGGGUUUUGGAAAUAACUUCCUUCCCAAGACCCCCCAUGCCAAUCAUUUUCUGUGGGUUUUCCCUUUCCCAGACUUU
rnacentral:pre_miRNA from 1 species